GUGGGUGUUUAUAAACGUCUUUUAGGAAAAAACAUACAAGUUCAAGUCCAUUAAUUCUCUUCUCCAUGACUAAGAGCAUUUAGCUACACUACAUGAUCCUUCAAGCUGCAUAUUUUGUGGCUUACUUGAAUAGCAGAAAGAGAAACUAGACUGGGGAUAUUUCUAAUAUUUAGGUUUGAUCUCAGCAUAGCAUGUUGAAACAAGCUCUCUGCUCCAUUAGGAACAAGCUGGCCAAAUUAAAUUCCUUGCGACUCCUUUUUUUUUUUAAAGAAAUAUUUAUAAUAUUCAGUAUUUACCAAAAUUAAAUUUAGGAAUUUGACUAAUAAUUUGAAAACAUUGGGGGAAAAUGGGAAAAAUACAACUCCCCCCCC